UACGUAGGGACCGAGCGUUGUCCGGAAUCAUUGGGCGUAAAGAGCGUGUAGGCGGCCACUUAAGUCCUGCGUGAAAUCUUGCGGCUCAACCGCAAGCGGUCGUGGGAAACUGGGUGGCUAGAGUGCGGGAGAGGAGAGUGGAAUUCCUGAUGUAGCGGUGGAAUGCGCAGAUAUCAGGAAGAACACCCGUGGCGAAGGCGGCUCUCUGGAACGCAACUGACGCUGAGACGCGAAAGCAUGGGGAGCGAACCGG
rnacentral:rRNA from 1 species